rnacentral:rRNA from 1 species
UACGAAGGGGGCUAGCGUUGCUCGGAAUCACUGGGCGUAAAGGGUGCGUAGGCGGGUCUUUAAGUCAGGGGUGAAAUCCUGGAGCUCAACUCCAGAACUGCCUUUGAUACUGAAGAUCUUGAGUUCGGGAGAGGUGAGUGGAACUGCGAGUGUAGAGGUGAAAUGCGUAGAUAUCGGGAGGAACACCAGUGGCGAAGGCGAUCACCUGGGGUUGUUCUGACGCUGAGGAGCGAAAGCUAGGGGAGCAAACGGG